rnacentral:lncRNA from 10 species
UUAUUCAUUUUCUUAUUGUUGGAUGUCUAACUACUUUGAAAUUUUAUUGUCAUAAACAAUGCUAAGCUGUUUUGUGCAUAAAUUAUUAAUUAUAUUCCUCAUUUAUAUUAUUAGAAUAUGACCCAAGGAAUGUUAUUAAUGAUCACCUCUUCCUCUUUAUUUUCCAUGGCUUCUGAAAAGAUUGUAAUGACUAUACUUAUACCUAAACAAGUAAUAAAUAAAUGCAUUUGGCUUCCUUACCUUGAGUAUUGAAUCAACAUUUGAAAACAAAGUAAUCAACCUUUGGCAAUUUGUCCUUCAGAGAGAGAAAAACUCCCUUAGAAACCCAUAUUAAAAGAAACGUGCACAUGUAUCCCAGAACUUAAAGUAAAAUAAAAAAUAAAAGAAAAGAAAAGAAACAUGGGGAAAAAGGAGCAAGAGGAAGUUGAGAAGAAAAUUCAAGAAGGUGGUGCUACAAGGGCUUCUCAAUUUUGUACUUUUUCCUUUCAACAUUUUCUCUCCUGGACCCAAGAAACAUCAAAGGACUUUGUAUUCUCCAGUGAAUGAAGGAUAAAAAUUAGACAUGGAGACACUUGGUUUGGCAGAGCAGGGAAUGGAUUUUGGUAGUCACACAUUACAGAAGUGUUGAGGGCUGAAUUGUGGCACUCCAAAAUCAUGUGUUGAAGUCCUAACUCCUAGAACCUCAGGCUGUAUUUGAAGACAGGAUCUUCAAAGAGGUGAUUAAAUUAAAAUGAAAGCAUUAGGGUGGGCCCUAAUCCAAUCUGACUUGUGUUUUUGAAAGAAGGGGAAAUUUAGAAGGAAAGACACCAGGGAUUUGCCCACACCAUGAAAAGACCACAUGAAGGCACAGAGAGAAAGAAGCCAUCUACAAGCCAAGGAGAG